GUCAAGAAUAUUCCUCAAUGGCCGAAAGGCUGAAGGAGCGACGCCGCGUGUAUGAAGAAGCCCUUCGGGGUGUAAAAUACUUUUAACUGGGACGAAACAAUGACGGUACCAGUUGAAUAAGGGGCUGCUAACCUCGUGCCAGCAGCAGCGGUAAUACGAGGGCCCCAAGCGUUAUCCGGAUUCAUUGGGCGUAAAGCGUCCGUAGGUGGUUUGUCGCAUCUCCUGUUAAAUCCUGAGGCUCAACUUCAGGACCGCGGGAGAGAUGGAUAAGCUAGAGGGUGGGAGAGGCAAAUGGAAUUGCUGGUGUAGGGGUUAAAUCCGUUAAUAUCAGCAAGAACACCGAAUGCGAAAGCAGUUUGCUGGAACACUCCUGACACUCAUGGACGAAAGCGUGGGAAGCGAAUGGGAUUAGAUACCCGAGUAGUCC
rnacentral:rRNA from 1 species